GAUGAACGCUGGCGGCGUGCCUAAUACAUGCAAGUCGAGCGAACAGAUGAGGAGCUUGCUCCUCUGACGUUAGCGGCGGACGGGUGAGUAACACGUGGAUAACCUACCUAUAAGACUGGGAUAACUUCGGGAAACCGGAGCUAAUACCGGAUAAUAUAUUGAACCGCAUGGUUCAAUAGUGAAAGACGGUUUUGCUGUCACUUAUAGAUGGAUCCGCGCCGCAUUAGCUAGUUGGUACGGUAACGGCUUACCAAGGCAACGAUGCGUAGCCGAACUGAGAGGGUGAUCGGCCACCCUGGAACUGAGACACGGUCCAGACUCCUAAGGGAGGCAGCAGUAGGGAAUCUUACGCAAUGGGCGAAAGCCUGACGGAGCAACGCCGCGUGAGUGAUGAAGGUCUUCGGAUCGUAAAACUCUGUUAUUAGGGAAGAACAAAUGUGUAAGUAACUAUGCACGUCUUGACGGUACCUAAUCAGAAAGCCACGGCUAACUACGUG
rnacentral:rRNA from 1 species